rnacentral:rRNA from 1 species
UACGUAGGUGGCAAGCGUUGUCCGGAUUUACUGGGCGUAAAGGGCGUGCAGGCGGUCUGUUAAGUCUAGGGUGAAAGCUCCCGGCUCAACUGGGAGAGGUCCUUGGAUACUGGCGGACUUGAGGGAGGCAGAGGAAAGUGGAAUUCCCGGUGUAGUGGUGAUAUGCGCAGAUAUCAGGAGGAACACCGGUGGCGAAGGCGGGUCUCUGGGCAACAACUGACGCUGAGGAGCGAAAGCGUGGGGAGCGAACAGG